rnacentral:rRNA from 1 species
UCCUACGGGAGGCAGCAGUGGGGAAUAUUGCACAAUGGGCGCAAGCCUGAUGCAGCAACGCCCCGUGAGGGACGAAGGCCUUCGGGUUGUAAACCUCUUUUAGUAGGGAAGAAGCGACUGGGUUUUCCUGGGAGUGACGGUACCUGCAGAAAAAGCACCGGCUAACUACGUGCCAGCAGCCGCGGUAAUACGUAGGGUGCAAGCGUUGUCCGGAAUUAUUGGGCGUAAAGAGCUCGUAGGCGGUUUGUCGCGUCUGCUGUGAAAACCCGAGGCUCAACCUCGGGCCUGCAGUGGGUACGGGCAGACUAGAGUGCGGUAGGGGAGAUUGGAAUUCCUGGUGUAGCGGUGGAAUGCGCAGAUAUCAGGAGGAACACCAAUGGCGAAGGCAGAUCUCUGGGCCGUAACUGACGCUGAGGAGCGAAAGCAUGGGGAGCGAACAGGAUUAGAUACCCUGGUAGUCCAUGCCGUAAACGUUGGGAACUAGAUGUGGGGACCAUUCCACGGUCUCCGUGUCGCAGCUAACGCAUUAAGUUCCCCGCCUGGGGAGUACGGCCGCAAGGCUAAAACUCAAAGGAAUUGACGGGGGCCCGCACAAGCGGCGGAGCAUGCGGAUUAAUUCGAUGCAACGCGAAGAACCUUACCAAGGCUUGACAUAUACCGGAAACGGCUGGAAACAGUCGCCCCGCAAGGUCGGUAUACAGGUGGCGCAUGGUUGUCGUCAGCUCGUGUCGUGAGAUGUUGGGUUAAGUCCCGCAACGAGCGCAACCCUCGUCCUAUGUUGCCAGCACGUAAUGGUGGGAACUCAUGGGAUACUGCCGGGGUCAACUCGGAGGAAGGUGGGGAUGACGUCAAAUCAUCAUGCCCCUUAUGUCUUGGGCUUCACGCAUGCUACAAUGGCCGGUACAAAGGGCUGCGAUACCGCAAGGUGGAGCGAAUCCCAAAAAGCCGGUCUCAGUUCGGAUUGAGGUCUGCAACUCGACCUCAUGAAGUCGGAGUCGCUAGUAAUCGCAGAUCAGCAACGCUGCGGUGAAUACGUUCCCGGGCCUUGUACACACCGCC